rnacentral:rRNA from 1 species
AGAGUUUGAUCAUGGCUCAGAACGAACGCUGGCGGCAGGCUUAACACAUGCAAGUCGAACGCGUGUAGCAAUACAGAGUGGCGCACGGGUGCGUAACGCGUGGGAAUAUGCCCUUCACUGCGGAAUAACGUUUGGAAACGAACGCUAAUACCGCAUAAUGACUCCGGUCCAAAGAUUUAUCGGUGAAGGAUUAGCCCGCGUUAGAUUAGCUAGUUGGUGAGGUAACGGCUCACCAAGGCUACGAUCUAUAGCUGGUCUGAGAGGAUGAUCAGCCACACUGGGACUGAGACACGGCCCAGACUCCUACGGGAGGCAGCAGUGAGGAAUAUUGGACAAUGGGGGCAACCCUGAUCCAGCCAUGCCGCGUGAGUGAAGAAGGCCUUCGGGUUGUAAAGCUCUUUCAGUUGUAAAGAUAAUGACGGUAACAACAGAAGAAGCCCCGGCUAAAUUCGUG